rnacentral:lncRNA from 1 species
UCUCUAUCCUUAUUUAAUUAAGGGUGUUUGGUUGUUAAGAAAAUUCCCUUUUUCAUCUUGAUUUCCAAACUAUAUUCCAAUAGAUUUCCUUAAAAAAAUGGGUUGAUUCUUCUAUUCCAUUCAUCUUUCAAUUUCUUAUCUAUUUAGGUUUUGGGUGAAAACUCAUUUUCUUCUUUAUUGAACUUCAAGAAGAGGUCAAG